rnacentral:RNase_P_RNA from 1 species
GCAGAAGCGUGGUCUGUCGCUUGGCUUUUUCAUGAGCCAAGAGGAAAGUCCGGGCAACAUAGGGCAACAUGUUUCCUAACGGGAAGCCGGCGGCGACGUCGGGGAUAAGUGACAGAAAACAACCGCCUUCAUUCCGCAAGGCAUGAAGGUAAGGGUGAAAAGGCGGGGUAAGAGCCCACCGGGUCCUAUGGCGACAUAGGAUGCCGCACAUCCCAUGUGUUGCAAGGCCAAAUAUACCGGCAGCAAAGGAUUGCCCGUCCAUUGCCGGGGGGUAGGCUGCUCAAGCUCGCGGGCAACCGUGCAGAUUAGAUAAAUGACAGACCCCUGUUCACGAAACAGGGACAUAACCCGGCUUACAUCGCUUCUGCCCCU